GACGAACGCUGGCGGCGUGCCUAAUACAUGCAAGUCGAGCGCAGGAAACUGACGGAACUCUUCGGAGGGAAGGCAGUGGAAUGAGCGGCGGACGGGUGAGUAACACGUAAGGAACCUGCCUCAAGGAUUGGGAUAACUCCGAGAAAUCGGAGCUAAUGCCGGAUAGUUCAACGGACCGCAUGGUCCGCUGAUGAAAGGCGCUCCGGCGUCACCUUGAGAUGGCCUUGCGGUGCAUUAGCUAGUUGGUGGGGUAACGGCCCACCAAGGCGACGAUGCAUAGCCGACCUGAGAGGGUGAUCGGCCACACUGGGACUGAGACACGGCCCAGACUCCUACGGGAGGCAGCAGUAGGGAAUCUUCCACAAUGGACGAAAGUCUGAUGGAGCAACGCCGCGUGAGUGAUGAAGGUUUUCGGAUCGUAAAACUCUGUUGUAAGGGAAGAACACGUACGAGAGGGAAUGCUUGUACCUUGACGGUACCUUACGAGAAAGCCACGGCUAACUACGUGCCAGCCGCCGCUGUAA
rnacentral:rRNA from 1 species